rnacentral:rRNA from 1 species
UACGUAGGGUGCAAGCGUUGUCCGGAAUUAUUGGGCGUAAAGAGCUCGUAGGCGGUUUGUUGCGUCGGCUGUGAAAUCCCGAGGCUCAACCUCGGGUCUGCAGUCGAUACGAGCAAACUAGAGUGUUGCAGGGGAGACUGGAAGUUCCUGGUGUAGCGGUGAAAUGCGCAGAUAUCAGGGAGGAACACCGGUGGCGAAGGCGGGUCUCUGGGCAAGCAACGUGACGCUGGAGGAGCGAAAGCGUCGGGGAGCGAACAGG